GGGCCGCUAGCUCAAUCGGUAGAGCAACUGAUUCUUAAUCAGUCGGUUACAGGUUCGAGUCCUGUGCGGCUCA
rnacentral:tRNA from 1 species